GACGAACGCUGGCGGCGUGCCUAAUACAUGCAAGUCGAACGCAGUGGGGACGGGUGAGUAACCCGUUGGUAACCUCCCCUCAGAGGGGAUAACCCUUUGAAACAGGUGCUAAACCGAUACUGAUGGAUGGACCCGCGGUGCAUUAGCUAGUUGGUGAGGUAACGGCUCACCAAGGCCACGAUGCAUAGCCGGCCUGAGAGGAUGAGCGGCCACACUGGAACUGAGACACGGCCCAGACUCCUACGGGAGGCAGCAGGAGGGAAUAUUGGGCAAUGGACGAAAGUCUGAACGAGCAACGCCGCGUGAGUGAAGAAGGUGUUCGGAUCGUAAAACUCUGUUGUUAGAGAAGCGGUAUCUAACGAGAAAGCAACGGCUAACUACGUGCCAGCAGCCGCGGUAAUUC
rnacentral:rRNA from 1 species